GGUGCCCGCCACCACACCUGGCUAAUUUUUGUAUUUUUAGUAGAGUCGGUGUUUUACCAUGUUGGCCAGGAUGGUCUUGAACCCCUGACCUCAGGCGAUCUGCCAUCUUGGCUUCCCAAAGUGUUGGGAUUACAGGUGUGAGCCACGGCACCCGGCACAUUUAUCUAAAUUCUUAAUGUCUGACUCUUCUCCAAAUCCUACGUCAGGUUGACGUCUCCCUCCCCUUCUUCUCGCCAAGGCCUCACCGACCUACAUCAUCACCUCCCAGGGGUCUGCAGUACUGAGUUCUAAUCCUGAUAAACUGGACUGGAUUGCUGAGAAAUUGUAGCCUGGUCUCUUUACAGGCCUCCAGCCCCGGGUCUUUGGGAAAAACAGGAAAAAAACAAAAAUAAAAACCAGAAUUGAAUUCAGAAGAAAGGUAGAGAGCAAAACGACUAGAGACCAUAGACGGAGGAGCCACCGGAGGGUGACGGUCCCAUUCUCUCCUUGUCCAUACUGCUCUCCUUAGAUGCUUUAGGCAGCAUCAACACUCUUAAUUACACAGCAACAUACUUUUUGCAAAAGCAAAUUUAUAUAAAAACACCGAAGACUGUCUCUGCACUUUUCUUUCUGCACCCCUGGAUGGAGAAAACCAUGCGGCUCACUUCAUCUUGGUGCAAUGGUUGCUGGUCUUGAAAUAAAAACUCACUGAAGACAAGAAGCCAUUUACUUGGUUAAAUGUGUGAAAAAUCGGUUGGGGUACAUUCUACUACUAAUGCACACACAAUCUGUAUUUAAUACAGAAUUAAAUGUCUACGGCCAAAGACUAACAAGGUUUGGAGAUGUUUUCUAGUUAGUCACCUGGUUUGGUUUCCCAAGCACAAUUUCUGAUUUACGGUUCAAGAGGAAACAAAGGAUUGCUUUCAACUUGUAGUCUGAGAAUUUGAAAAUCCAGAACUGAAGUGAAAAGAAAAUCAACAUCCCUGUGAUACAAUGUGAUGCUAACCCUUAAGGGGGAGGGAGAUGGGCGUAGAUGGUGCCACAGGAGCCAAGCGACAGGAGAUGCAGGAGUUCAGGCACCGCACAGCUGUGUACCUCCCUCUGAGCUCUACCCCAACUGGUGGCCCUCCCUACCCACCAGCCUGCUCAGGAAGUGAGACACAAAUCAUUUAGAUGCUUUAAAAAAGAUGAAGGAACUUUUCAAUGUGGCGAACACAGUCUCCUGUGUUGAAUCAAGUUUAUAAACAAGCUUUUGUUUCCCCAUGAGUUUCUCUAGGUACCCAGAGAGUUCACCUUCUCUGAAGACUGUAUCUUCUCUGAAGACUGCAACAUGCUGGGCCCAGUGGCUCACUCCUGUAGUCUCAGCACUUUGGGAUGCCAAGAGGGGAGGAUCACUUGAGCUCAGGAGUUUGAGACCAGCCUGGGCAACCUAGUGAGAUCUUGUCUCUACAAAAUUUUGUAAAAAUUAGCUGAGAGUGGUGGUGUGCGCCUGUAGCCACAGCUACUCUGGAGGCUGAAAUGGGAGGAUCACUUGAAUCUGGGAGGUUGAGGCUGUGGUGAGCCAUACUGUGCCACUGCACGCUAGCCUGGGUGGCAAAGCAAGACCCUGUCUCAAAAAGAAAAAAAAAAAAAAAAA
ensembl:lncRNA